rnacentral:rRNA from 1 species
UACGUAGGGUGCAAGCGUUGUCCGGAAUUAUUGGGCGUAAAGAGCUUGUAGGCGGUUUGUCGCGUCCGCUGUGAAAACUCGGGGCUUAACCCCGAGCCUGCAGUGGAUACGGGCAGACUAGAGGUAGGUAGGGGAGAAUGGAAUUCCCGGUGUAGCGGUGAAAUGCGCAGAUAUCGGGAGGAACACCGGUGGCGAAGGCGGUUCUCUGGGCCUUACCUGACGCUGAGGAGCGAAAGCGUGGGGAG